rnacentral:siRNA from 1 species
UCUCGGUUAGAUGUUUUAGGCAAU